GUCCCCAUCGUCCAGCCAGGUCAGGACACCAGCCUUUCAAGCUGGUAACACGGGUUCAAAUCCCGUUGGGGACGCCA
rnacentral:tRNA from 1 species